rnacentral:rRNA from 1 species
UACGUAGGGUCCGAGCGUUGUCCGGAAUUAUUGGGCGUAAAGAGCUCGUAGGCGGUUUGUCGCGUCUGCUGUGAAAACUCGGGGCUUAACCCCGGGCCUGCAGUGGGUACGGGCAGACUAGAGUGCGGUAGGGGAGACUGGAAUUCCUGGUGUAGCGGUGGAAUGCGCAGAUAUCAGGAGGAACACCGGUGGCGAAGGCGGGUCUCUGGGCAGUAACUGACGCUGAGGAGCGAAAGCGUGGGGAGCGAACAGG